rnacentral:rRNA from 1 species
AGUGAACGCUGGCGGCAGGCCUAACACAUGCAAGUCGAGCGGCAGCGCGUCCGACCACCCUCGGGUGGUCGGAUGGCGGCGAGCGGCGGACGGGUGAGGAAUGCAUCGGAAUCUGCCUCGUUGUGGGGGAUAACGUAGGGAAACUUACGCUAAUACCGCAUACGACCUACGGGUGAAAGUGGGGGACCUUCGGGCCUCACGCGAUGAGAUGAGCCGAUGCCGGAUUAGCUAGUUGGCGGGGUAAAGGCCCACCAAGGCGACGAUCCGUAGCUGGUCUGAGAGGAUGAUCAGCCACACUGGAACUGAGACACGGUCCAGACUCCUACGGGAGGCAGCAGUGGGGAAUAUUGGACAAUGGGGGCAACCCUGAUCCAGCCAUGCCGCGUGUGGGAAGAAGGCC